AGCAAUGGAAUGCAAUGAUAAUUCAAUAUAAAGAAAAUUGAUAUAACGUGUUUUUGUCGAAAUGAAGAGGUGGGGAAGUUUGGUAUACAUAUCUUAAAAAUCUAUCAUUUUUCGAAGAUGAGAAAGGUAUUUCUUAUUAGAAGAAUCUGUUGCCAAGAGCAACUGUGCUGUCUAAUCUGCGAUCAGAUGUCGGAAGGCGGAAGUGAUUGACUAAUUUGCAUUGUCUGCGUCGAGUGGUAGAUAGAUAGCUGUGUGUGAAGGAUCUUCAAUCAGGUACAGGAAGGAAACUGAAUAACAACAAACGCAAAGAUAAAUACAAUCUAACUGAAGAUGGAAGGUGAUAUCGGAGAACUUGAGCAGAAUCUUGUAAAACAGGAACGUGGACUAUCACUGUUGAUGAAAGAAAAAAUCAGUUUAGAGGAAGAUCUUAAACGCGCAAAAGGAGCCGAUACAAAUCUUAAAAAAGCAUUAAAAGACAAAGAACAUGAAAUUCUUCUCCGGGAAACAGACAUCUGCAUGAUGAAAAAGAGAAUCAAGCAAAGAAAAGAUAAAAUUUUAAUGCUACAAUGCGAAAAGAGUAAAUUAGAAAAAGCAUCAAUCGAUACCAAGCUAGAAGAAAUGAAACUUGAGGAAAACAUAAAAGGCAUGAAGACCAAUUUAGAUAAUGUGGAAGACCGACUCAAGAAAAAUGAAGACGUCACAAGUCAGACUGAAGACAUUUUAGCCAAGUUGAAGGAACGCGAAGCAGAAUUGAAAGCUGAUAUAGAAAAAUUGAAAAACAAGUCGAAUUGAUGAUAUGGAUAAUAAUUAACGCGAAAAAGAGUGCCAAGUAUUAAAACAUCAUUCAUGUCUACCACGUUGAAGAAUAGUUUCUGUUAAUAAUAUUUCUGUCUUUUCAUGACACAUUCGCUAUGCAUCUUAUAGUGUGUUAAUAAAUAGUGUAGUAGACUUUUGUUACAUUUUCUGUUUUGCGUGACGUCAUAUAUAAUCCUGAGAAGUACAUUGAAUCAUUCAAAUGUCAAACGAAUCAAAUAGUUAAGUGACUGGAAUGGUGACACACUAAAUUAUUAUUGUCGAAAAAACAUAAGAACGUGUAUCAACAUAGGACUAUGAAAUAUUAAUAAAGUUUUCAAAGUUAUACAUUGAAUAAGUUGUUCAAAAAUGUAUUGAGUAUAUGACAUCUGAUAUAUAUUUCAGUCAAUCAUGUUUAUUUGUAUUUAUCCAUAAAACGCUAACAAUGUAAAA